UUGGAGGGCAAGUCUGGUGCCAGCAGCCGCGGUAAUUCCAGCUCCAAUAGCGUAUAUUAAAGUUGUUGCAGUUAAAAAGCUCGUAGUUGAAUUUCGGGGCCAAUAAGUUGGUCAUGCCAAUGGUAUGCACUGGCUUUAUUGAUUUCUACCUCUUGACGAACUGUGAUGCCAUUAAUUUGGUGUUGCAAGGAAUCAGGACUGUUACCUUGAAAAAAUUAGAGUGUUUAAAGCAAGCUUACGCUUGAAUACAUUAGCAUGGAAUAAUGAAAUAGGACGUUUGAUCCUAUUUUGUUGGUUUCUAGGAUCGACGUAAUGAUUAAUAGGGAUAGUUGGGGGCAUUAGUAUUCAAUUGUCAGAGGUGAAAUUCUUGGAUUUAUUGAAGACUAACUACUGCGAAAGCAUUUGCCAAGGAUGUUUUCAUUAAUCAAGAACGAAAGUUAGGGGAUCGAAGACGAUCAGAUACCGCCGUAGUCUUAACCAUAAACUAUGCCGACUAGGGAUCGGAUGAUGUUAAUUUUUUAAUGACUCAUUCGGCGCCUUACGGGAAAC
rnacentral:rRNA from 1 species